CAGUAGCCGCGGGAAUACAGAGGGUGCAAGCGUUAAUCGGAAUUACUGGGCGUAAAGCGCGCGUAGGUGGUUUGUUAAGUUUGAUGUGAAAUCCCCGGGCUCAACCUGGGAACUGCAUCCAAAACUGGCAAGCUAGAGUAUGGUAGAGGGUGGUGGAAUUUCCUGUGUAGCGGUGAAAUGCGUAGAUAUAGGAAGGAACACCAGUGUCGAAGGCGACCACCUGGACUGAUACUGACACUGAGGUGCGAAAGCGUGGGGAGCAAACAGGAUUAGAUACCCCCGUAGUCCCUGUCUCUUAUAA
rnacentral:rRNA from 1 species